GAUGAACGCUUUCUCCUUUCUUAACACCUGCAAGUCGAACUAAAAGGCCCGGCUUUUGUGGGGUGCUCGUGUGGCGAACGGGUGAGUAACACGUGAGUAACCUGCCCUUGACUUUGGGAUAAAUUCAGGAAACUGGGGCUAAUACCGGGUAUGAGCUCCUGCUGCGUGGGGGGGGUUGGAAAGUUUCGGCGGUUGGGGAUGGACUGGCGGGUUCGCCGCUUGUUGGGGGGGUUGUGACUUACCAAGGCUUUGCCUGGUAGGCGGCCUGAGAGGGUGACCGGGCUCAUUGGGACUGAGAGACGGCCCAGACUCCUACGGGAGGCAGCAGGGGGGAACAUGGCACAAUGGGGGGAAGCGUGAUGUGGAAACGCCGCGUGCGGGAUGAAGGAGUUCGGGGUGUAAACCGAUGUCGCAGGUGACGAAGCGUGAGUGACGGUAAUGGGUAAAGAAGCAAAGGCUAAAUACGUG
rnacentral:rRNA from 1 species